rnacentral:rRNA from 1 species
UACGUAGGAGACGAGCGUUGUCCGGAGUUACUGGGCGUAAAGGGUGCGCAGGUGGCGGCGCGCGUGGGGGGUGAAAUCGCCCGGCUUAACUGGGCGGGGGCCUUCCAGACGGCGUGGCUUGAGCAGCGGAGGGGGACGUGGAAUUCCGGGUGGAGCGGUGAAAUGCGUAGAGAUCCGGAGGAACACCGACGGCGCAGGCAGCGUCCUGGCCGCUUGCUGACACUGAGGCACGAAGGCUAGGGGAGCGAACAGG